rnacentral:misc_RNA from 1 species
CCCUAUCUCUACCUCUAUCUCUAUCUCCAUUUCUAUUCCUAUCUCCUUCAGAAUUCUCUGAUUCAGAUACCAUCCCAGCUCGAAUUCCUUGAAGCAAUUGUACCAUUGUAGCUGAAUCUCUUCUUCUUCUUCUUCUCAUGACUGAUUCAAUCUCACGGUCUAAUUCACUUUCUCCUCCAUGGUGUGCCUCACCAUCAUCGCUGUCAUCGCCAUCUUCUUCAAACUCCAUUCUUCUUAAUCUUCUACGUAAACGAGGAUUUCCCAUCAUUCCAAGCAAGACUGGGGCCCAAAGGGAGAGUGCACGAUCAGAAUUGAAAUCAGAAUCAGGCUCCUGAUUUUCCCUUGUACUACUACUCAUUUCUUCUACAAAUCCACUUUGACAAAAUGGGCAUUUGAUCUCAACUUCCAUUAUGGGGUUCACCCUUUGAGAGCACCUGUGACACCAAUACCGCGUUGCCAUUGCUUCCUCCAUUCUCUCUCUUUCCCCUCCUCAGUAACCACCUUGUCUCGUAAUCCAAAAUUGGAACCGAACGGCGAAUUUGAUGGAGAAGAAUACGCGGACUUUGGNAACCAAAUGAAUAAAACAGAUAAUUAACUCAGAAUCUCUAAAUAGCAGAGCACCACAAAAG